rnacentral:rRNA from 1 species
GACGAACGCUGGCGGCGUGCCUAACACAUGCAAGUCGUGCGAGAAAGUUCCUUCGGGAGCGAGUAAAAGCGGCGCACGGGUGAGUAACACGUAGGUAACCUGCCCCCCAGUCUGGAACAACUAGAGGAAACUCUAGCUAAUGCCGGAUGAGACCACGAUCCCCUUCGGGGGUUAGCGGCCAAAGAUGGCCUCUAACUUGUAAGCUAUCGCUGAGGGAUGGGCCUGCGGGCCAUUAGCUUGUUGGUGAGGUAACGGCUCACCAAGGCUGUGAUGGCUAGCUGGUCUGAGAGGAUGACCAGCCACACUGGGACUGAGACACGGCCCAGACUCCUACGGGA